UUCUACGGCCAUGAUACCCUGAACAAGCCCAAUCUCGUCUGAUCUCGGAAGCUAAGCAGGGUCAGUCCUGUUUAGUACUUGGAUGGGAGACCACCCAGGAAGACCAGGUGCAAUAGGCA
rnacentral:rRNA from 1 species